UUUUAUUAGAAUUAAUUAAUAAUAAAGUCUGCUCAAUGAAAUUUAAAUAGCCGCUUUUGUGCUAAGGUAGCAUAAUCAUUUGUCUUUUAAUUAAAGACUAGAACAAAAGACUUAACAUCUCAAUAGAUUUUUUUUAAAAAAUUAUUUAAAUUAUUUUAAUUGUAAAAAAACAAUUUUUAAAAAGAAAGACGAUAAGACCCUAUCGAACUUCACUUCAGUUUAACUGGGGCAGUUAAUUAAUUAUUACCUUAAUAAUAUUAAAUAUUUAAUUUGACCUAAUAUAAUUAACAAUAUAAUUAAGUUACCGUAGGGAUAACAGUGUAAUAAAAUUUUUAAGAUCUUAUUUAAAAUAAAGAUUGCAACCUCGAUGUUGAUUUAAUAUUCUAAUUUACGCAAUAGUUAAUUAAGAAAGUCUGUUCGACUUUUAAAAAAUU
rnacentral:rRNA from 1 species